rnacentral:rRNA from 1 species
CUACGGGUCGCAGCAGUCGAGGAAAUUUUACAAUGCUCGAAAGAGUGAUAAAAUGAGUCAGAGUGUUUCUCUUAGAGAAACUUUUUUCUGCUGUAAAAAGGCAGAAGAAUAAGGACUGGGUAAGAUCGGUGCCAGCCGCCGCGGUAAUACCGACGGUCCAAGUCGCAUCCACAUUUAUUGGGUCUAAAACAUCCGUAGCUUGUUUUAUAAGUUUCUUGUGAAAUCUUACAUCUCAAAUGUAAGGCGUGCAAGAAAUACUAUACCACUAGAGACCGGAAGGCGCAAAGAGUAUGGUUAAGGUAGCGGUAAAAUGUGUUAAUCUUAAUUAGACUAACAAUAGCGAAGGCGCUUUGCGAGUACGGAUCUGACAGUGAGGGAUGAAGGCUAGGGGCGCAAAAGGGAUUAGAUACCCCCGUAGUC